CAGUCAGCUGGAAAAGUAUUUAAUAUGAAACCGGCAAACAAGUCAUUUGCAGUAUAUAGGCCGCCUUCAAUGCAAAGUCUGUUCAUGUAUUGUGAUAAUUGAUUUGUCAUGUAAUAAUUGAAAUUUCUAACACACCAGUCAGAAACAUAACCUCAAUUCAGUGAUAUAUGAAUAAAGAGAAAGAAAAUUACAGUGCUGAUAACCCCUACGAAAAUGGAUUUCAAACUAGGGAAAUCUUCUCCAAUAGAGAAGAUAAAUACAAAGUUAGAUAAUAUAUUAGAAAUUAUUAAUCCUUUGUCACCAAACAAAAAACAAGCAAGGCUUGAAAACAUGCGAGAAGAAAAAUAAGAACACAUAUCGAUAAAUAAGAACACAUAUUAAGAUUAAGUGUUGAAAAGAAAAUGAAUUGUGGAGUAUUUCUUAAGUGAUGAUAUUGUAUUACAGAAUAGGAAAUUCACAUAUUUAAUACGAAACCAGCAAAG